AAACCGGAGCCUAGCCCAAUUUCAUUAACCAGCUCAUUUGAGCUGCGAACUGGCCCGUAAAAACAGAUGCAGAGCAAGGCAAGCUCCCUCUUCCGCAAUCUACCACUCCGGCCAAUCCUUGACUGAAAUCAACCGCGUUGAGGUGAAAAAGGAAUCCUGAAUCGUUUCAGUGGGUGGGAAAAUAAUUUUGGGCCAUUUAUAUUUCCACUACUGGAGGGAAAACCAGAAAACCCUUUCUCAAAUUGGGAUACUUGUGCUGAAGUGGGCUCAAUUGACUAAUGAAAGAAAUGUACAACAAUUUUGUAAGAAAGAUCACUAGUGAAACAGUUUGGAGAGGCGGCUCUGGCGUCUGUAACUAUAUAUACAGAUAAAGAAUGAGGAUGAUCAAACUGCUACAUUUUUUAAAGUCGAAGCAUCUCGUGACAUUAAAUUCAAUUUGAUGGAUACCAAUUUAGACAAGAGAGCAUGUGGGAUGCAUUGCAGCUGUUUGGAAAUCUGAUGGUCCUCUAGUAGAUUCUCUGCAGGAUGCAACGUCUCUGGACUCAGUAAGAAAUUUCAAGAAUCUCAUUUGCUGGAUCUGUGUGUGGAGGUAGCUUUCAAAAAAACAGCAUUGUCUAGUUUAUAUCUGUAAGGUGACACAUAAUACAAGUAUACAUUGCAAAUCAAUCACUUGUAGUUCAUAGGAGAUUAAUAUGCAUACUACCAAAGGUUCAGCUUGUGCAAUUUUGAUGCAAAGGUGACAGUUUUCCUUUGGAAAGGCUAAAGUGAGUUAGGAAAGUGAAUAGAAAUUCUGGAGAACUCUCUAUCAUUUAUUGUUUGUGUAGAAUAUUUUAGUAUGUUGCUCUUUCUUCACACAUUUAUUAUUUAAGGAUGUUAGGACUCAAAAUUCUAGUUUGAUUCGGAAAAUAUAUUUUUCUGGUUUGAGUGAGAGAAAUAUUUCUUAAUUGGAUAGAGAAUUAUUUGGUAUAUAGUUUAGAACUCUUAUUAUAGCUUUAUUCCCUAUUUGAGUUGGAUAACUAUUGAGAUUAGGAUUGAGGAAACUAAUACUAUAAACUGAAGUAUUGCACGACAUCUAAUUUGGCUUUGGCUCAUGUGUGGAGAAAGGAUAUAGGGUUCAAGAGAAAUGUACUUUUAUCUAUUAUUGAGGAGGCUACUGCCUGUGUAGUGAAGACACUUUGUUGUGCAUUAUGAAAUUAAAGUAGUAAAUAUAUUGGUUAUGUCUAGAAGAAAAUGAAAGGAACAAGUCAAACCAUUAAGUUUUAGUUCAGUGGUAAUAGAGUAGUCUCUAGAAUUGUGAGAUUUCGAGUUCAAGUCCCAAUUGAAGGCACUUGUACAAAAAAAUGGAUAAAUUAAUAUAUUUAUUAUAAGUAGUUAUUUGAUUGAGAGGAGUCUCUUGGGUGUAAUGGAAUUUAUGGAAAGUGAGUAAAGUUUAAAAUUUAAUGAUGUAAUGUAUGUUUUUUUAUUGAUAGUGAAAAAUAGCAUGCCAUGGACAUAACUUUAUGUUGAAAGUUUGAAUCACGUAAAUAUUGUUAUUGUAUUUAUUUAUUUAUUUAUUUAUUUUAUUAUGUGCUUUUGAUAGAUUUGGUCUUAACACAUGAGUUGUUGGCAAUAGCUGUGGGGCAAAGCUUGAGACAAGUCUUAUAAUUUGAGUUUCCUAAAGUUAUAGCAUGUCUUGAGAGAUUGUCUAGAGGCCAUACAGCUGUGGAGCCAAGCUUCGCAUGGUAGGUGUUGCUCUUAGUUCUACUCUUGGACUCUUGGUUGCUAAGGUGUUGGUUAGGGAAUAAUGUGUUUUUAUGAUUGAUGGUUCUCCCCAGGAUGGUUCCUUUUAUUUUAUUUUUAUUUUUUAUUUUUUUUUCAAUAUGGCUAUCUGGUAUUGAUGGUGAUGAAAAAAAGGAGCUUGUGUAUCCUCAAAUAAAUAACCAGUGAGUUUAGAUUUUGAAGGGAUCAAAUGUAUCAGGUUGCCAAUUCUUGGCAGAUGAGCUGUGCAUAAUUCCAGUAGGAUGAUGAAGCUAAACGCGGAUUGAUGUGAUGGCCUGUUGUCUAUUGAGGGGUGAAGCUAGGCUGGCCACGGGCUGAUUCAAUCUGAUUCUGGGUCAGAAUUGGCAGUUUCUGUUUGUGGCCUGACUGAAUUUGAAUUAGAACGAGGGGACCAGUUCUCCAUAACUUCGGUUACUGUUAAGCUUUUGGGCUUAGGCCUAAGUCUUCCACGCUAGCUCUUAGUUUCCAAAGUCCACUUUGUUUGGCGGCGCGUACGGGCAAAACGCCAAGCACCACCAGCCAGACUCCAACCUAUCUCACCCAUUAUUCUAUGUGAAUAUGAAAUCAAUUGAACUCAUCUAAAUGUUGUUAGUUAUAGAAUUUAAAAAAAAAAAAAAAGGUAAGAGUACUUAACUUCAUCAACAUAAUCAUUUGCUUUAAUGAGCUUCUAAUAGUAUCUAACAAAGCAUGAUGAUUCUUGCUUAAUAAAUUUAAUUUCUUUC